UGAAAGUUCAAAAGAUAAGCAUUUCUCAACAUGAAUGACCCGAAACGUAUUUUAAAGUAAAGCCAUUAAAAACAAUGUUUUCUAAUACAUUUCACAGUUUAUUGAUGCUGAGCUGUGCAAAAAAUGUGAAGAAAUCUAAAGUCAUUUUUUCAGUGGACUGUCAUAGAAAGUGUGGCUAGUCUUGUAAUGAAUAAUAAGCAAUGUUUAGAUGGAACUGCAGGGAAGGAGCAUAUGCAUGACUGAAAUAAUAGUCUUGUGGGAUAAUUGUUGGUGUUAAGGUUCUUUCCCCCUUCCCCAAAUACAGGAAUUAGCAUCUAGCAGCAUGAACAAUUGCUGCUCCAUCACCUUGCAUACUCAGGUUGCUAAAAGAGUAUGGGAAGGGAAUCGAGAUGUGUGUCAAAAGUGACAUUAACGUGGGAGGUCUGUUCUCUUGCUAUGGUGCUCUGCAGGAUAACUUCUGCAUGGUUGUCUCACUGCAGCUGUGGUCGUAUCAUCAUCAGGUGCAUCCACUUGCUUAUUUCUGCAUCCUUUUUUUUCACAGUGAAUGAAAACCAGAAGGUCCAUUUCAGUUGUGUUAAUGCUCUUAAGUCAAUCUGAUAUCUACACCUGGUUUCUCCUGCACAUAGAUUUCUUCUCUUCCAGCUGUAAUGCAGAUCUCUAAAAUGUUAUGGGAAUCACUUAAGCAACAUCGGUAUAUCAGUGAACUCAGCUGUUCAACUGCUCUGAAGGGGAUGUGUCUUCAAGGACACUGCAAUGCUGACUGUGGGACAGGCCGUGGCAGUUUCCAGCUACUGAGACUGAAGAGAAAUGAUGUGACUUUCAGCAUGCUGACUUCUUCCCCUGUGCUGAGCCACCCGAUUCUUCUGUCUGGGCUCUGCACAUGCAGUCAGACCCAAUACCG
rnacentral:lncRNA from 1 species